AACGAACGCUGGCAGCAUGCCUAACACAUGCAAGUCGAACGAGACCUUCGGGUCUAGUGGCGCACGGGUGCGUAACGCGUGGGAACCUGCCCUUAGGUUCGGAAUAACUCCCCGAAAGGGGUGCUAAUACCGGAUAAUGUCUUCGGACCAAAGAUUUAUCGCCUUUGGAUGGGCCCGCGUUGGAUUAGCUAGUUGGUAGGGUAAAAGCCUACCAAGGCGACGAUCCAUAGCUGGUCUGAGAGGAUGAUCAGCCACACUGGGACUGAGACACGGCCCAGACUCCUACGGGAGGCAGCAGUGGGGAAUAUUGGACAAUGGGCGAAAGCCUGAUCCAGCAAUGCCGCGUGAGUGAUGAAGGCCUUAGGGUUGUAAAGCUCUUUUACCCGGGAUGAUAAUGACAGUACCGGGAGAAUAAGCACCGGCUAACUCCGUG
rnacentral:rRNA from 1 species